AUACGGAGGGUGCAAGCGUUAAUCGGAAUUACUGGGCGUAAAGCGUACGUAGGCGGUUCGUUAAGUUAGAUGUGAAAGCCCCGGGCUUAGCCUGGGAACUGCAUUUAAAACUGGCGAACUAGAGUUGAGUAGAGGGGAGUGGAAUUUCAGGUGUAGCGGUGAAAUGCGUAGAGAUCUGAAGGAACACCAGUGGCGAAGGCGGCUCCCUGGACUCAAACUGACGCUGAGGUACGAAAGCGUGGGUAGCAAACGGGAUUAGAAACCCUAGUAGUCC
rnacentral:rRNA from 1 species